rnacentral:rRNA from 1 species
UACGUAGGGGGGCUAGCGUUGUCCGGAAUCAUUGGGCGUAAAGCGCGUGUAGGCGGCCCGGUAAGUCCGCUGUGAAAGUCGGGGGGCUCAACCCUCGAAUGCCGGUGGAUACUGUCGGGCUAGAGUACGGAAGAGGCGAGUGGAAUUCCUGGUGUAGCGGUGAAAUGCGCAGAUAUCGUAAGGAAGACCAGUGGCGAAGGCGGGUCUCUGGACAGUUCCUGACGCUGAGGCACGAAGGCCAGGGGGAGCAAAACGGGG